GUCUUCUUGAUAAAAUAAGAAGUCUGACCUGCCCAGUGAAAUAUUUUAACGGCCGCGGUAUAUUGACCGUGCAAAGGUAGCAUAAUCAUUAGUCUUUUAAUAGAGGGCUGGAAUGAAGGGUUUAACGAAGUACUUACUGUCUCAUUUAAUUUGGUAUUAAAAUUUACUUUUUCAGUCAAAAAGCUGAAAUAUUAUUGGAAGACGAGAAGACCCUAUAGAGCUUUAUAUUUAAUUAUUUAAUAAAUUUUUGAUGUAAUUAUUAUUUAUUAUUUAAUAAAAUAUUUUGUUGGGGUGACAAAAAUAUAUAAUUAACUUUUUUAUUUAUAUAACAUUGAUAUAUGAGAAAUAGAUCCAGUUUUACUGAUUAUUAGAAUAAGUUACCUUAGGGAUAACAGCGUAAUCUUCCUUUAGAGUUCAUAUUCACAGGGAGGCUUGCGACCUCGAUGUUGGAUUAAGAUUAUAAUUAGGUGUAGCCGCUUAAAAAAUAGGUCUGUUCGACCUUUAAAUUCUU
rnacentral:rRNA from 1 species